AGUGAACGCUGGCGGUAGGCCUAACACAUGCAAGUCGAACGGCAGCACAGUAAGAGCUUGCUCUUACGGGUGGCGAGUGGCGGACGGGUGAGGAAUACAUCGGAAUCUACUUUUUCGUGGGGGAUAACGUAGGGAAACUUACGCUAAUACCGCAUACGACCUACGGGUGAAAGCAGGGGAUCUUCGGACCUUGCGCGAUUGAAUGAGCCGAUGUCGGAUUAGCUAGUUGGCGGGGUAAAGGCCCACCAAGGCGACGAUCCGUAGCUGGUCUGAGAGGAUGAUCAGCCACACUGGAACUGAGACACGGUCCAGACUCCUACGGGAGGCAGCAGUGGAAUAUUGGACAAUGGGCGCAAGCCUGAUCCAGCCAUACCGCGUGGGUGAAGAAGGCCUUCGGGUUGUAAAGCCCUUUUGUUGGGAAAGAAAAGCAGCAGGUUAAUACCCCGCUGUUCUGACGGUACCCAAAGAAUAAGCACCGGCUAACUUCGUG
rnacentral:rRNA from 1 species